GGAGCAAGGGAGGAGUUGUUAAAGAGAAGACCACCAGGACCUUGCAGGUUUUAGAUGAGCCUGUGGACAUCAGCAUCAGAAGAGAAUGCAUCCUCAAAUCUCUGAUGAUCUACCUUGGUGAACCUGUUGAGCACCUUUUCAAAGAAUACCAGGAUAAUGAGGUUGAAGAACUGGAGCAGACAACCAUGGCCAUCUUUAUCACUGGAAAAGAGGAUCCUCUCCAUCCACCUAAAGACAUUAAAAUUGUUGUCGAAGGAAAAGAGGUCCUGAAC